GCUGGUCAUUCGCUGCGGGAGAAGUGAGAGGUCUGCGGGGACGUGCCCAGCGUAGAAGCUCUCCCUGUGACCCUCAGAUCUCCCAGAGUUCUAACCGGCGAUCCCCUACUCGUGACGAGGCAACUGGGAUGGGUAGAGACAGAGGGUGCUGUUCCGUUCCCCGUAAGGAGAGAGAGGCGAGAUCUCAGCGAAGCCAGGCUCAUACGCUCCUAAUGAAUCACUGAAUCAACAGGGACACCGCUGUUUGUGCCGUCACGCCGACCAAGAACAGCUUCUUUCUUCCAUUCAGAACGAAAAGGCUUUGUGGAGAAGAAAUAAUUCACCCACUCGGCUCUGAAGCAAAAAUCUGAUGCACCUGUCACCUAUUUAUACCCGUGUGCACAGGGAGUGGCUCAGAUAUGCAUUGCCGUCUCGUGACAAUGACCGGCUCUGUAUCAUUGAGAUAGCUGUUGCUAAUGGAACUGCUAAUCGGCAGCAGAAAUACAUGGAUGAGCCUGUGUCAGAGGAAGGAUGCAUUAAAUGGAUUGAAAAGUGGUGUUUGGCCCCACAUUCCUCUCUGAGCUGCACCACAACAGUGGGGAUGUCUCUAGCUUCAUCGGCUGCAUACGUGAACUGCAGUUGGGCUCCAAAGACCUGUAUGUUGUGGGGGAAGCAAUCAGAGGCCUAA
ensembl:lncRNA